GUACAGCUUGAACUUGGUGCAGAUGCUCAAUGUGCCGCUAAUUGACAUGUGAUAUAUUGAUAUAUUGUUUUUAAAGGCAAUUCAGCCAAUUAUGUGAUAGUAACACUGCAGUUACGCAGUU